rnacentral:rRNA from 1 species
CACAUGCAGUCGAGCGGUAGAGAGAAGCUUGCUUCUCUUGAGAGCGGCGGACGGGUGAGUAAUGCCUAGGAAUCUGCCUGGUAGUGGGGGAUAACGCUCGGAAACGGACGCUAAUACCGCAUACGUCCUACGGGAGAAAGCAGGGGACCUUCGGGCCUUGCGCUAUCAGAUGAGCCUAGGUCGGAUUAGCUAGUUGGUGAGGUAAUGGCUCACCAAGGCGACGAUCCGUAACUGGUCUGAGAGGAUGAUCAGUCACACUGGAACUGAGACACGGUCCAGACUCCUACGGGAGGCAGCAGUGGGGAAUAUUGGACAAUGGGCGAAAGCCUGAUCCAGCCAUGCCGCGUGUGUGAAGAAGGUCUUCGGAUUGUAAAGCACUUUAAGUUGGGAGGAAGGGUUGUAACCUAAUACGUUGCAAUCUUGACGUUACCGACAGAAUAAGCACCGGCUAACUCUGUGCCAGCAGCCGCGGUAAUACAG